GACGAACGCUGGCGGCGUGCCUAACACAUGCAAGUCGAACGGAAAGGCCCUGCUUUUGUGGGGUGCUCGAGUGGCGAACGGGUGAGUAACACGUGAGUAACCUGCCCUUGACUUUGGGAUAACUUCAGGAAACUGGGGCUAAUACCGGAUAGGAGCUCCUGCUGCAUGGUGGGGGUUGGAAAGUUUCGGCGGUUGGGGCUGGACUCGCGGCUUAUCAGCUUGUUUGUGAGGUAGUGGCUUACCAAGGCUUCGACGGGUAGCCGGCCUGAGAGGGUGACCGGCGACAUUGGGACUGAGAUACGGCCCAGACUCGUACGGGAGGCAGCAGUGGGGAAUAUUGCACAAUGGGCGGAAGCCUGAUGCAGCAACGCCGCGUGCGGGAUGACGGCCUUCGGGUUGUGAACCGCUUUCGCCUGAGACGAAGCGGGAGUGACGGUAAUGGGUAAAGAAGCAACGGCUAACUACGUG
rnacentral:rRNA from 1 species